rnacentral:tRNA from 1 species
ACCUCACUGGUUCAGUGGGUGGGACGUGUGACUCUUGGUCUCAGCUUUGUGGGUUCGAGCCCCACGUUGGGUG